UACGAAGGGGGCUAGCGUUGUUCGGAAUUACUGGGCGUAAAGCGCACGUAGGCGGUCUUUUAAGUCGGGGGUGAAAUCCUGGAGCUCAACUCCGGAACUGCCUUCGAUACUGGAAGACUUGAGUCCGGGAGAGGUGAGUGGAACUGCGAGUGUAGAGGUGAAAUUCGUAGAUAUUCGCAAGAACACCAGUGGCGAAGGCGGCUCACUGGCCCGGUACUGACGCUGAGGUGCGAAAGCGUGGGGAGCAAACAGG
rnacentral:rRNA from 1 species